GACGAACGCUGGCGGCGUGCUUAACACAUGCAAGUCGAACGGAAAGGCCCUGCUUUUGUGGGGUGCUCGAGUGGCGAACGGGUGAGUAACACGUGAGUAACCUGCCCUUGACUUUGGGAUAACUUCAGGAAACUGGGGCUAAUACCGGAUAGGAGCUCCUGCUGCAUGGUGGGGGUUGGAAAGUUUCGGCGGUUGGGGAUGGACUCGCGGCUUAUCAGCUUGUUGGUGGGGUAGUGGCUUACCAAGGCUUUGACGGGUAGCCGGCCUGAGAGGGUGACCGGCCACAUGGGGACUGGGAUACGGCCCAGACUCCUACGGGAGGCAGCAGGGGGGAAUAUUGCACAAUGGGCGGAAGCCUGAUGCAGCAACGCCGCGUGCGGGAUGACGGCCUUCGGGUUGUAAACCGCUUUCGCCUGUGACGAAGCGUGAGUGACGGUAAUGGGUAAAGAAGCACCGGCUAACUACGU
rnacentral:rRNA from 1 species